GAACUCCAGUAGGGCCCAAGCCAGCCAGGAAGGAGGAGGCAGCCAGAGUGGCCACCACUGUUCUCUGCAGCAGAAGACCCCUUGCUGCCAGAUCUGUGAGUACUGUGCAAAGGUUGCACAGGUGUUGAGAAUAAUGUGUGUAUAGGACUAUCCUCACUGCAGAAUAGCUGUAACCUGCAGUGCUGCCCUCCAUCUUAAGAAUUUAUUAGCACCAUGGUGAACUGGGACAUUACCUGAAAAACGGUAGAUGGGGAGUUGGGACUACAGCCAGAACUCUCUAGAUCUCAUCUGAUCAAGUAACCCAAAUGUUCACAAAGGGGACGAGGAACUAAUGGAAACUCACUUCACAAUCAAGACAUUGAUCCUGAACACAGGGAAAAACAUUCUUUUGCUGAAUCCUCUUUGGAAAAUGUUUUGGAACAUCCAUUUGGUUACAAAUGGCUGCAGAUUCACAGGAUGGCUGUUUCAUUCAGUGGAACUGUAAGAUGAAGAAGUGGCUCCCACACCAUGCUGUGUCAGAAGUGCUGUAGUCGUGUUCAUUAGUUGAAGAAGAAACAUAACACCACAGUGGCUUGCGUCCUAAGGUUAUCCCUGCUGGAAGCGGAAAACACCAGACCUACUCCUGCACUUGUGGAUCUGCCUCCGGAACGGGAUUCGUCUGUGCCCAAGCCAUCUGCCCCAGGUGCUGAGGGUGGAACACCGGUGGAUGUUGGUGCUGGUCUGUGGAUGCCAAUGAGGCAAGCCAGGGUGCUGAUCCUCAAUUGUUUUCUGGGCCCACAAGUGGGUGCGAGCAUCCAGCUUGGGAACAGAGCUUGGCUGGGGGCAAUGGGCAUCGAUCUGUUGGAUUGGUCGCUGAGGCAUCACACUGGAUUGGACUCUUUAUUAGUCAGAGACCGGCAGAAAAAACAACAUCCUGAACAUGUGCUGAGGAAGUACAUAAAUACAUUAAGCGUUCAUGAGUCAUUCGUUAGCACACACACAAUGGUUAUCAGAUGCCACAGGAGCAUGAAAAAUUUCCACUCUAAUAACCACCAUCAUAACUGUCACCUCUUUAUGAUGUGCAAGAGGAUACACACACAGGAUUGCCAGCUUUUCUUCAGCACAAAAUAUGACACCCCUCUCCUGGGAACUCCAUUUCUCAUCAACCUGUCCUCCCCAGAAGUUAACACAGCAGAGCUGAGACAGGAAGCUAGCUGUGAUGCAUCCCGUGUGUUAACUGGUUGUAGGGCUCCUGCUGUUCCUUCCUGGACCUCCUGCAAGUUACUUGGAGAGAACAUGGCAUAUUUUUUAUCUUUUUCUUUGGCUUAAACCAUUUGCCUUAGAACACGAAUAGAAGAACUCUUGAUUGAGCCAAUAAAUACAUUUCAGUGUUGGCCUA